ACUGAAUGUAGGUAUAAGCCUAUCAAUACAGAUUGAAUAAUUUCCAUAUAUUGUAAAUUAUGCCUUGUGUGUGUGUGUGUGUGUGUGUAGUAAUUCUGAAGCCUUUGCUAGCGUUGAUUAUCUUGUCUAUGCUCCAGACCUUGAACAAGCUAAGGAAACAAAGGAGCGAAAACUGAGAGAAGAAAAGAGAGAAGCUCACAGAGAUAGGCGCAAGGUGAGGACGCGGAGGGAGGAGGAGCGAGAGAAGAAGGCCGCAAAGCCUGAGGGGAGGCGAGAGCGGCCGAGGAAGGAGGAGAAGGUGGUGGCCAGGGCCAAGAUCAGAGCGAAGCCCAGGGCUGAGAGACCCGCAAAGGCUGAAGAGAGAAGGCGUGCCGUGAAGACCAAGGAAACCAAACGGGAGGAACCCAGGAGAAAGGCAGCCAAAGAAGAGAAGGAGGGAAAGAGGGACAAGGAGCCAUCUAAGAAGAAGGUGUCCCCUGAUGAGAAGAAAGGAGCUCAGAAAAAACUAGAAGACAAGCCGAAAGAAGCAAAAAUUAAGGCUGAAGAAAAGGCUGUAAAGAAAAAGCAGAAAGAGGGCAGGACUGCAACUGUCAAAGCAGUGAAGGAACAACCUGUAAAAGAGAAGACCAAAGGUAAGCUAAAAUAAAAUAAAAAAAUAAAAAAAUCAAAAAGCAAGUUUUUAUUAUGAUU
rnacentral:lncRNA from 1 species